rnacentral:rRNA from 1 species
GGUCCCAAAGUCAUAGUUAAGUGGGAAACGAUGUGGGAAGGCCCAGACAGCCAGGAUGUUGGCUUAGAAGCAGCCAUCAUUUAAAGAAAGCGUAAUAGCUCACUGGUCGAGUCGGCCUGCGCGGAAGAUGUAACGGGGCUAAACUAUGCACCGAAGCUGCGGCAGCGACACUAUGUGUUGUUGGGUAGGGGAGCGUUCUGUAAGCCUGUGAAGGUGUGUCGUGAGGCAUGCUGGAGGUAUCAGAAGUGCGAAUGCUGACAUAAGUAACGAUAAAGCGGGUGAAAAGCCCGCUCGCCGGAAGACCAAGGGUUCCUGUCCAACGUUAAUCGGGGCAGGGUGAGUCGACCCCUAAGGCGAGGCCGAAAGGCGUAGUCGAUGGGAAACGGGUUAAUAUUCCCGUACUUGGUGUUACUGCGAAGGGGGGACGGAGAAGGCUAUGUUGGCCGGGCGACGGUUGUCCCGGUUUAAGCGUGUAGGUGUGUGUUCCAGGUAAAUCCGGUUCACUUUAACACUGAGGCGUGAUGACGAGGCACUACGGUGCUGAAGCAACAAAUGCCCUGCUUCCAGGAAAAGCCUCUAAGCAUCAGGUAACAUCAAAUCGUACCCCAAACCGACACAGGUGGUCAGGUAGAGAAUACCAAGGCGCUUGAGAGAACUCGGGUGAAGGAACUAGGCAAAAUGGUGCCGUAACUUCGGGAGAAGGCACGCUGACACGUAGGUGAAGUGAUUUACUCAUGGAGCUGAAGUCAGUCGAAGAUACCAGCUGGCUGCAACUGUUUAUUAAAAACACAGCACUGUGCAAACACGAAAGUGGACGUAUACGGUGUGACGCCUGCCCGGUGCCGGAAGGUUAAUUGAUGGGGUCAGCGCAAGCGAAGCUCCUGAUCGAAGCCCCGGUAAACGGCGGCCGUAACUAUAACGGUCCUAAGGUAGCGAAAUUCCUUGUCGGGUAAGUUCCGACCUGCACGAAUGGCGUAAUGAUGGCCAGGCUGUCUCCACCCGAGACUCAGUGAAAUUGAACUCGCUGUGAAGAUGCAGUGUACCCGCGGCAAGACGGAAAGACCCCGUGAACCUUUACUAUAGCUUGACACUGAACAUUGAGCCUUGAUGUGUAGGAUAGGUGGGAGGCUUUGAAGUGUGGACGCCAGUCUGCAUGGAGCCGACCUUGAAAUACCACCCUUUAAUGUUUGAUGUUCUAACGUGGACCCGUGAUCCGGGUUGCGGACAGUGUCUGGUGGGUAGUUUGACUGGGGCGGUCUCCUCCUAAAGAGUAACGGAGGAGCACGAAGGUUGGCUAAUCCUGGUCGGACAUCAGGAGGUUAGUGCAAUGGCAUAAGCCAGCUUGACUGCGAGCGUGACGGCGCGAGCAGGUGCGAAAGCAGGUCAUAGUGAUCCGGUGGUUCUGAAUGGAAGGGCCAUCGCUCAACGGAUAAAAGGUACUCCGGGGAUAACAGGCUGAUACCGCCCAAGAGUUCAUAUCGACGGCGGUGUUUGGCACCUCGAUGUCGGCUCAUCACAUCCUGGGGCUGAAGUAGGUCCCAAGGGUAUGGCUGUUCGCCAUUUAAAGUGGUACGCGAGCUGGGUUUAGAACGUCGUGAGACAGUUCGGUCCCUAUCUGCCGUGGGCGCUGGAGAACUGAGGGGGGCUGCUCCUAGUACGAGAGGACCGGAGUGGACGCAUCACUGGUGUUCGGGUUGUCAUGCCAAUGGCACUGCCCGGUAGCUAAAUGCGGAAGAGAUAAGUGCUGAAAGCAUCUAAGCACGAAACUUGCCCCGAG